rnacentral:rRNA from 1 species
CCUACGGGAGGCAGCAGUGGGGAAUUUUGGACAAUGGGGGCAACCCUGAUCCAGCAAUGCCGCGUGAGUGAAGAAGGCCUUCGGGUUGUAAAGCUCUUUUGUCAGGGAAGAAACACCGGCUCUAACACAGUCCGGGAAUGACGGUACCUGAAGAAUAAGCACCGGCUAACUACGUGCCAGCAGCCGCGGUAAUACGUAGGGUGCGAGCGUUAAUCGGAAUUACUGGGCGUAAAGCGUGCGCAGGCGGUUAUACAAGACAGGCGUGAAAUCCCCGGGCUUAACCUGGGAAUGGCGCCUGUGACUGUAUAGCUAGAGUGUGUCAGAGGGGGGUAGAAUUCCACGUGUAGCAGUGAAAUGCGUAGAUAUGUGGAGGAAUACCAAUGGCGAAGGCAGCCCCCUGGGAUAACACUGACGCUCAUGCACGAAAGCGUGGGGAGCAAACAGGAUUAGAUACCCUGGUAGUCCACGCCCUAAACGAUGCUGACUAGUUGUUCGGGAUUUACAUCCUGAGUAACGUAGCUAACGCGUGAAGCAGCGCCGUGGGAGGUACGGUCGCGAGAGUUAAACUACAAUAGAAGUUAGUACGGCGUGAGACGUGACCGACGGACGACCGACGAGGGAGGGAGG